UACGGGAGGCAGCAGGGGGAAUAUUGGACAAUGGGCGGAAGCCUGAUCCAGCCAUGCCGCGUGUGUGAAGAAGGCCUUUUGGUUGUAAAGCACUUUUAAGCGAGGAGGAGGCUACUAGUACUAAUACUACUGGAUAGUGGACGUUACUCGCAGAAUAAGCACCGGCUAACUCUGUGCCAGCAGCCGCGGUAAUACAGAGGGUGCGAGCGUUAAUCGGAUUUACUGGGCGUAAAGCGUGCGUAGGCGGCUGAUUAAGUCGGAUGUGAAAUCCCUGAGCUUAACUUAGGAAUUGCAUUCGAUACUGGUCAGCUAGAGUAUGGGAGAGGAUGGUAGAAUUCCAGGUGUAGCGGUGAAAUGCGUAGAGAUCUGGAGGAAUACCGAUGGGCGAAGGGCAGCCAUCUGGCCUAAUACUGACGCUGAGGUCGAAAGCAUGGGGAGCAAACAGGAUUAAGAAUAACCCGU
rnacentral:rRNA from 1 species